UACGGGGGGAGCAAGCGUUGUUCGGAUUUACUGGGCGUAAAGGGCUCGUAGGUGGCCAACUAAGUCAGACGUGAAAUCCCUCGGCUUAACCGGGGAACUGCGUCUGAUACUGGAUGGCUUGAGUUUGGGAGAGGGAUGCGGAAUUCCAGGUGUAGCGGUGAAAUGCGUAGAUAUCUGGAGGAACACCGGUGGCGAAGGCGGCAUCCUGGACCAACACUGACACUGAGGAGCGAAAGCCAGGGGAGCAAAGCGGG
rnacentral:rRNA from 1 species